UACGGGGGGGGCGAAGCGUUGUUCGGAAUUACUGGGCGUAAAGGGCUCGUAGGCGGCCAACUAAGUCAGACGUGAAAUCCCUCGGCUUAACCGGGGAACUGCGUCUGAUACUGGUUGGCUUGAGUGUGGGAGAGGGAUGCGGAAUUCCAGGUGUGGCGGUGAAAUGCGUAGAUAUCUGGAGGAACACCGGUGGCGAAGGCGGCAUCCUGGACCAUUACUGACGCUGAGGAGCGAAAGCCAGGGGAGCAAACGGGG
rnacentral:rRNA from 1 species